rnacentral:rRNA from 1 species
UCGGGAAUUUUGGGCAAUGGGCGAAAGCCUGACCCAGCAACGCCGCGUGAAGGAUGAAAUAUUUCGGUAUGUAAACUUCGUAAGAAUAGGAAGAAUAAAUGACGGUACUAUUUGUAAGGUCCGGCUAACUACGUGCCAGCAGCCGCGGUAAUACGUAGGGACCAAGCGUUGUUCGGAUUUACCGGGCGUAAAGGGCGCGUAGGCGGUGUGUCAAGUCAGUUGUGAAAUCUCCGAGCUUAACUCGGAACGGUCAACUGAUACUGUCACACUAGAGUACAGAAGGGGCAAUCGGAAUUCUUGGUGUAGCGGUGAAAUGCGUAGAUAUCAAGAGGAACACCUGAGGCGAAGGCGGGUUGCUGGGCUGAUACCGACGCUGAGGCGCGAAAGCUAGGGUAGCAAACGGGAUUAGAUACCCAGGUAGUCCCUGAGCGGGCUGGCAAGGCGCAU